rnacentral:tRNA from 1 species
CGGGCCGUGGCGCAGCCUGGCUAGCGCGCUUGCUUGGGGUGCAAGAGGUCCGGGGUUCAAAUCCCCGCGGCCCGACCA